GACGAACGCUGGCGGCGUGUCUAAUACAUGCAAGUCGAACGCAGUGGGGACGGGUGAGUAACACGUGGGUAACCUCCCAUCAGAGGGGAUAACACUUGGAAACAGGUGCUAAACCGAUACUGAUGGAUGGACCCGCGGUGCAUUAGUUAGUUGGUGAGGUAACGGCUUACCAAGGCCACGAUGCAUAGCCGACCGGCGAGGGUGAUCGGCCUCACCGGGACUGAUGCACGGCCCAGACUCCUCCGGUGGGCAGCAGUAGGGAAUCUUCCACAAUGGACAAAAGUCUGCCCGAACAACGCAGCGUGAUUGAAGAAGGUUUUCGGAUCGUAAAACUCUGUUGUUAGAGAAGCGGUAUCUAACCAGAAAGACACGGCUAACUACGUGCCAGCAACCGCGGUAAUAC
rnacentral:rRNA from 1 species